UACGGAGGAUCCAAGCGUUAUCCGGAAUCAUUGGGUUUAAAGGGUCCGUAGGCGGGUCAAUCAGUCAGUGGUGAAAGUCUGCAGCUUAACUGUAGAAUUGCCAUUGAUACUGUUGACCUUGAGUAAUUAUGAAGUGGUUAGAAUAUGUAGUGUAGCGGUGAAAUGCAUAGAUAUUACAUAGAAUACCGAUUGCGAAGGCAGAUCACUAAUAAUUUACUGACGCUGAUGGACGAAAGCGUAGGUAGCGAACAGG
rnacentral:rRNA from 1 species